UGUGUGUGAGUAUAUACACACACAAAUGAUAGCGUUGAUAAAUUAAGUUGUUACAAUGAAGAUCAAACUCGCAUUAAAAUGUAUAGGCAUAAUUAUUUUCUGUCACUGCAAUAAAACAUCAUCUGCGACCAAAAUACAUUAUUCCCAGCUAGCUAGCUAAUGUUGCAUGUCAUUUGGUUUUCAAAUUCAUGCUGUAACCUCACGAAGAAAAAUAAAAUGAAAAUACUUAAUUGUAACUAAUAUAGCCGCCUAACCAACACAUUAAUAAAUCAUUUACAAGUUCAAUACCAAAAAAUUAAAACCAAUUAACACAAAGUCAAGAAACAAAUCUUCUAGGCAUAUUCUAAUUAACCCUGUAAGUUUGAAAAUGAUUAUGAAUCAGGUAAUGUAACUAGGGACUGUUAUAUAUUUCGUACUCUAAUAAUACAUUCCUCAAUUCCUUAUGUAUAACACAAUUUCUAUUCAAUAUAUGUACAUUAAAGUUUAACACAUAUACAUAAAUUAUUAAUUAUAAACACAAUUUUUUUUAUGCACGUUUCAAAGGGUGAUUUAUCUGUAAAAAAAAUUUGAAACACGAUCUGUCAUCAUGAAGCAAUAUUACUAGGGACUACUGUAUUAACAUUCCAGUCACUGUCAAAGUCCAUGGAAAAUGCUAGUGGUCUCCUACAGGGAGUAAUUACAGGUUGUUUGCCCUCCACUUCCGGUGCCCUCCCCGUGCUCUCCUGUUUGUGUGGUCAUGGUUAAACCACGUCAAUAUUUUAUAUUACUAUUCAUUUUUGUCUUAUUAUAUCUAUAAAAAAAACAAUAUAAAAAUUGUUGGACAUGACUUGUACCGUGGACCACACAAAAUAGGAGGACACGGGGAGGGCACCGGAAGUAGAGGGCAG
rnacentral:lncRNA from 1 species